AGAGUUUGAUCAUGGCUCAGGAUGAACGCUAGCUACAGGCUUAAUACAUGCAAGUCGAGGGGAAACGAUAUUGGAAGCUUGCUUCCGAUAGGCGUCGACCGGCGCACGGGUGAGUAACGCGUAUCCAACCUGCCCACCACUUGGGGAUAACCUUGCGAAAGUAAGACUAAUACCCAAUGAUAUCUCUAGAAGACAUCUGAAAGAGAUUAAAGAUUUAUCGGUGAUGGAUGGGGAUGCGUCUGAUUAGCUUGUUGGCGGGGUAACGGCCCACCAAGGCAACGAUCAGUAGGGGUUCUGAGAGGAAGGUCCCCCACAUUGGAACUGAGACACGGUCCAAACUCCUACGGGAGGCAGCAGUGAGGAAUAUUGGUCAAUGGACGAGAGUCUGAACCAGCCAAGUAGCGUGCAGGAAGACGGCCCUAUGGGUUGUAAACUGCUUUUAUAAGGGAAUAAAGUGAGAGUCGUGACUCUUUUUGCAUGUACCUUAUGAAUAAGGACCGGCUAAUUCCGUGCCAGCAGCCGCGGUAAUACGGAAGGUCCGGGCGUUAUCCGGAUUUAUUGGGUUUAAAGGGAGCGUAGGCCGGAGAUUAAGCGUGUUGUGAAAUGUAGACGCUCAACGUCUGCACUGCAGCGCGAACUGGUUUCCUUGAGUACGCACAAAGUGGGCGGAAUUCGUGGUGUAGCGGUGAAAUGCUUAGAUAUCACGAAGAACUCCGAUUGCGAAGGCAGCUCACUGGAGCGCAACUGACGCUGAAGCUCGAAAGUGCGGGUAUCGAACAGGAUUAGAUACCCUGGUAGUCCGCACGGUAAACGAUGGAUGCCCGCUGUUGGUCUGAAUAGGUCAGCGGCCAAGCGAAAGCAUUAAGCAUCCCACCUGGGGAGUACGCCGGCAACGGUGAAACUCAAAGGAAUUGACGGGGGCCCGCACAAGCGGAGGAACAUGUGGUUUAAUUCGAUGAUACGCGAAGAACCUUACCUGGUCUUGACAUCCUUCUGACCGGUCCUUAACCGGACCUUUCCUUCGGGACAGGAGUGACAGGUGGUGCAUGGUUGUCGUCAGCUCGUGUCGUGAGAUGUUGGGUUAAGUCCCGCAACGAGCGCAACCCCUAUCUUUAGUAGCCAGCAUUUCAGGUGGGCACUCUAGAGAGACUGCCAGGGAUAACCUGGAGGAAGGCGGGGACGACGUCAAAUCAUCAUGCCCCUUAUGACCAGGGCUACACACGUGCUACAAUGGCGUAAACAGAGGGAAGCAGCCUCGUGAGAGUGAGCAAAUCCCAAAAAUAACGUCUCAGUUCGGAUUGUAGUCUGCAACUCGACUACAUGAAGCUGGAAUCGCUAGUAAUCGCGAAUCAGAAUGUCGCGGUGAAUACGUUCCCGGGUCUUGUACACACCGCCCGUCACACCAUGGAGUCAGUAACGCCCGAAGUCAGUGACCCAACCGUGAGGAGGGAGCUGCCGAAGGCGGGACCGAUAACUGGGGUGAAGUCGUAACAAGGUA
rnacentral:rRNA from 1 species